rnacentral:rRNA from 1 species
UACGGAGGAUGCGAGCGUUAUCCGGAUUUAUUGGGUUUAAAGGGUGCGUAGGCAGGAUGCCAAGUCAGCGGUAAAAAUGCGGUGCUCAACGCCGUCGAGCCGUUGAAACUGGCGUUCUUGAGUGGGCGAGAAGUAUGCGGAAUGCGUGGUGUAGCGGUGAAAUGCAUAGAUAUCACGCAGAACUCCGAUUGCGAAGGCAACAUACCGGCGCCCUACUGACGCUGAGGCACGAAAGCGUGGGUAUCGAACAGG